rnacentral:rRNA from 1 species
AGGACGAACGCUGGCGGCGUGCUUAACACAUGCAAGUCGAGCGGUAAGGCUCCUUCGGGAGUACACGAGCGGCGAACGGGUGAGUAACACGUGAGCAAUCUGCCCUUCACACGGGGAUAACUCCGGGAAACCGGUGCUAAUACCCGAUACGACCACCUCAGGCAUCUGAUGGUGGUGGAAAGUUCCGGCGGUGAAGGAUGAGCUCGCGGCCUAUCAGCUUGUUGGUGGGGUAAUGGCCCACCAAGGCAACGACGGGUAGCCGGCCUGAGAGGGUGACCGGCCACACUGGGACUGAGACACGGCCCAGACUCCUACGGGAGGCAGCAGUGGGGAAUAUUGGACAAUGGGCGAAAGCCUGAUCCAGCAACGCCGCGUGAGGGAUGACGGCCUUCGGGUUGUAACCGUCUUUCACCUAUGACGAAGCGCAAGUGACGGUAGUAGGAGAAGAAGCACCGGCCAACUACGUGCCAGCAGCCGCGGUAA